rnacentral:misc_RNA from 1 species
AAGUCGUAACAAGGUUUCCGUAGGUGAACCUGCGGAAGGAUCAUUACCAAAUCCAAAUUACCCAAACCCCAUGUGAACUAUUGUAUAGUCUGUCUUUGGGAGAAAAUGAGAAGGAAAAGUUGAAAGUUUAUGCUUUCUUCCGGACUUUAGCAUUUCUCCCAAUAGAGUCCGGCGCAAUGUUAUCGUUGUGUCCAGAUUCGAAAACCCUUUAAACCACUUGAUUUUCGUUGGAAUUAUCUUUUAUUAAUUAUAAAUAAAAGACAACUUUUAACGGCGGAUCUCUUGGCUCGUG